CUACGGAGGGUGCAAGCGUUGUUCGGAAUCACAGGGCGUAAAGGGCGCGCAGGCGGUUUGGUAAGUCAGAUGUGAAAGCCCACGGCUCAACCGUGGAAGUGCAUUUGAAACUGUCAGACUUGAGUACUAGAGGGGAAAGUGGAAUUCCCGGUGUAGAGGUGAAAUUCGUAGAUAUCGGGAGGAAUAUCGGUGGCGAAGGCGACUUUCUGGCUAGAUACUGACGCUGAGGCGCGAAAGCGUGGGGAGCAAACAGGAUUAGAAACCCUAGUAGUCC
rnacentral:rRNA from 1 species